UACAUGCUGUUUUUCCGUUAA
rnacentral:piRNA from 1 species